CUUCACUGGCCCCACAUCCGAUUCCGCACUGCUGUGCUGCCCAAUUCCUCCACGCAUCGCUGCAUUUGGGUGAGAGGGGAACCAAGCUAGGGUUUCGCCUCCCCCGCACGCCUCCUCCUCCGCAUCGCGCGAACCGACCCGACCCCCGCUUCGCCGCCGCCGCGGCCGCGAUGGGGACGGAGAGGAAGCGCAAGGUGAGCCGUGAGCCUCUUCGACGUGGUCGACAAGACCUCCGUCUCCGCCAAGCUCGGCGGCGCCGCCACCACCAACGGCACCGCCGCCGCCGCGGCGGCCAACCAGCCCCUAAUCGGCGAGGUACCUCGAGUCCCAAGACACUCGAGAAGCGCCGCACGCUCCCCGUGUGGCAGCUGAAGGACGAUUUCCUCGCUGUCCUCCACGACAACCAGGCCCUCAUCCUCGUCGGAGAAACCGGAAGCGGCAAGCACUCAGAUGGAAUCGCACCACAGUACCUCGACCCCCAAAUCCAUCGAUCCGCCGCCAUCGGUUCAGGGGAGUGGCACUCCGGUAGGCCGCUCAUCGAGUUAUCUUGAUUUCCCGAGCCUCCGCUCAUCCGCCACCACGCGUGUUCGGGGUUCUCUGCGCCAUCGUCGCCUUCAUCCUCCUGUUUGCACGCUGCCGCCAAUCUACUGACUCUGGGUUUCAAUACGGAGUGGACAAAGUGUUCCAGCCAUUGCCAUCGUCGCCUUCCAUGGGGCAUGAGCUCCUCUGUUGGGGUUCAGUACUGAGUGGAGAAAGUGUGUUCCGGCCACUGCCGUCAUUGCCUUCCACGGGACAGUAAGCUCCAGCAAGCGGAUAUAGAUCUGCAUUUCCAUCCGCAACAGCUCUUCAUCUGGUCUGCCUCUAUUCAUUUUGUUGUCAAUUGGUUGGUUUCACCAUCCUUUACUCUACAACAGAUGAUUUGCAUGGCCAUUGUUUCAUGCGCAGGAAAUUCAUGGACGGUUUACAAUGUAAAUUUGAUGUUGGAUGGUGUCUUAUCUCGACCAAAGUUUGUCAAAUUCGCUUGCCUGUUGCUGCGUUGUAUAACUUGCAACCUAUUUUUCUUAUAGCCAUGCCAUAAGCUUAGAUGCACCUUCUACUCGUUGCCUCAUGUAUGCAGCCGUGUUUUGAUAUAUAUGGUGCAGUGACUUUGUGAGCAGCUCAGUUUAAUAGAACCAAGGUAAGAUGGUUGAUCUCGAUCAUUGUUUCAAAUUGAUUGCCUACAACUCUUUGAAAUAGAAGGUAAGUUAACCAGACAUUCAUCUACUAUAUAUGUUUGUGUAUGUCAUAUACUUGAUGAAAUGCUUGAUGGACUUAGCCCGUCGAUAUGCAUUAUUGGUUAAGUACUCAAAACUGCACACUGCUGUCACUUAAUUUUAGAUUUCUCAUUACGUUCAGUUAUAUUAGAUUCAGGCCUUAAGGGAUAUGGCAGCUAUUAACUGUAUAAUAUUUUGACCCAAAUGAUUCAGUUCUAGAGCACUUAAAGAUGGCUAUUGCAGGUAUUAUAGGCCAGCACAAAGUUUGUUGUUGUUAUCUCUUUGUUGCUUGCAGUAUACUCAUAUCACAUUGAAGCCAAGUUAUGCUAUGUAUUACGUUGAUUUGGUCAUGAAACGUUUCUCUCUAUUCAGGAAGCAUUUUUAUUCAACAAUGUAUGCGCCUUCUUUGCUAAACUACUAUGCAGUGGAUGUGUUCAUGAUUGUUUUCUUCUGAUCCUAGCACAUUCCCUGAGAUAUCCUUCAAAUAUGAUGACUUCAAAGUCAUCGUGUGCCUUUUUUCCUCUCAUAUUUACAUUGUUAUGCCUAGGACAAUAGCUUCAGUUUAACAGUGCACCUUCGCUGCUUGAUAAUUGCGAUGGGUAAGAUACUAUCAGUCAACUGUGAAUGUAUUAUGUACUAAUGUUGUUUCACCUCUACAAAGCCAAAAAAUGAAGUUCUCCCUAGACACACCCAAACCUUCCAAGUAGAGCAAUAAUUUUAUUAGCAACCAUUAUUUCCACAUAUCUAUCGCCUCUUUGAUUUAAAUAGUCAUCCAAGAUAAAGGAGUUAACGCAAUAAACUAAAUGGGCUGCUCAUUUUGUUUAAUGUCCAUAGAUUUGCAAGCAGGAAUCCCUCAAUCUAUAUUUUCUUUGCUUGGCAGGAGUUACAUUUUUUUAGAUGACAUCCAGUAGGGAUUCAGGCCAUUGGAGCUUGAGGGAUACACACCAUUCAGUAGUUUGAGAAAUUGAUGUUUCAACUUCGCCUAAAUUUAUAGGUUAAAUAUGAUACUAAUUAGUUGUGCUUGUCGUUUUUAGUAAUCAGUGCCACAUAUAAAAUGUAGCUCAAGCCAUUUUUUUGUGCUUUUACCUCUCCUAUCAAGGUAGGACUGAUGUUGGCAUUUGGGAACGCCUUUUCAUUUUCUUUAUGUAAUGAGGAUUAAUGUAUUUCCAACUCCUAAUUAGUAAAUCACAACAAGAGGAAAGCAAUAAGGAUAUAAUUACCCUUUCUAAAUUGAGGUGAUGUAUGCAAGAAACUAGCCAAUUGAAAUAACCAGGCUAUGAAUGUAAUAUGAAAAUACAAAACAUUGAAUGAUGUGUAAGGAGGAUCAUUUCCAUCCACUGAUUGCAUAUGCUAAUUCUAUUAUUUUAUCAUCUCUUUUUUCAAAGGUCCUUCCGGAGAUUCUUCAUAUGGCUAUCCUGGUCUGCUAACUUCUACUCCCUCCGUCCCAUAAUAGAGUAUGCUAUCAUGACACACAAGGAUUUUUUUUGUUGGGUGCUGUGUAAAAUUAUUGUUACCGAAGCCUUCAAAGGUAUUACAGUAAUAUAUUGUUACAUCUCCUUCACCGGGCUUCUAUACUAGAGAUCCUCCUAUUACUAUUUUAGUUCUUUUUAAACCAGACAACCUGAUUAGCUAUUCUUACUUAUCUUUUUAUACAAGAUUUUUUUUACAAGAUUAUAUUUGCACCAUCAGAUGUAGAAUGCCAACUUUGUUCAAGCUCCCCCUAGCCAUAUACCAUAUAUUCAUGUUCUGCUUGAUUUCUACUCUGUGGUUGAGCAAAAUCCUGUGUAUAAUACUUAUGCAUCUUGCAUUGCACUUCAGCUUAAUUUUUGUAGAGGCCACCCUGUGCAGCUUUCUCAAUUUCAUCCAUAACAAAACAAGGGGCAUUUUACAUACUCUUAGUUCAAACCGGUAUGCUCCGUUUGUAUCAAGUAAAACAGUUACGGAGUUGCUAGAAAUAUGGCGCCAUAUACUACAGUCGAUUUUUUUUCAGCCACUUACACAGUAGUUACACCUCAUUUACACCCCACUUACAUAUGUAAUUAGUAUAUAAUUUUCGAAUUUACAUAUG